GUGGCGAACGGGUGAGUAACACGUGAGCAAUCUGCCCUUGACUCUGGGAUAACUGCGGGAAACUGUAGCUAAUACCGGAUACUUUCCUCGCUGGGCAUCCAGCGGGGAAGAAAGAAUUUCGGUCAAGGAUGAGCUCGCGGCCUAUCAGCUAGUUGGUGAGGUAAAGGCUCACCAAGGCGACGACGGGUAGCCGGCCUGAGAGGGUGACCGGCCACACUGGAACUGAGACACGGUCCAGACUCCUACGGGAGGCAGCAGUGGGGAAUAUUGCACAAUGGGCGAAAGCCUGAUGCAGCAACGCCGCGUGAGGGAUGAAGGCCUUCGGGUUGUAAACCUCUUUUAGCAGGGAAGAAGCGAAAGUGACGGUACCUGCAGAAAAAGCACCGGCUAACUACGUGCCAGCAGCCGCGGUAAUACGUAGGGUGCAAGCGUUGUCCGGAAUUAUUGGGCGUAAAGAGCUCGUAGGCGGUUUGUCACGUCUGCUGUGAAAAUCCGAGGCUCAACCUCGGACUUGCAGUGGGUACGGGCAGGCUAGAGUGCGGUAGGGGAGAAGGGAAUUCCUGGUGUAGCGGUGGAAUGCGCAGAUAUCAGGAGGAACACCAAUGGCGAAGGCACUUCUCUGGGCCGUAACUGACGCUGAGGAGCGAAAGCGUGGGGAGCGAACAGGAUUAGAUACCCUGGUAGUCCAC
rnacentral:rRNA from 1 species